UACGGAGGGUGCGAGCGUUGUCCGGAAUCAUUGGGCGUAAAGGGCGCGUAGGUGGCCCGGUCAGUUCGUGGUGAAAGCGCGGGGCUCAACCCUGCGUCGGCCAUGAAUACUGCCGCGGCUGGAGCACUGUAGAGGCAGGCGGAAUUCCGGGUGUAGCGGUGGAAUGCGUAGAGAUCCGGAAGAACACCGGUGGCGAAGGCGGCUCUCUGGAACGGUACUGACGCUGAGACGCGAAAGCGUGGGGAGCGAACAGG
rnacentral:rRNA from 1 species